CCCUCCCCUUCCUUCCGCGGAACCCCUCCCUGAGCAGCAGCGCCGGCUUCCCAAGCAGGGUUGAUGGAUCCGCGGUAGCAGGUGGUGGAAGAGGGAGACAGAAACGACCGUGGGGACCCCAGCCGAAGAGGAGCUGGAGCCGGAGGAGCCGCGCUCAUGGCGUUCAGCCCUUGGCAGAUCCUGUCCCCAGUGCAGUGGGCGAAAUGGACCUGGUCCGCGGUGCGCGGCGGGGGCGCCGGAGAGGACGAGGCCGGAGGGCCCGAGGGCGAUCCCGAGGAGGAGGACUCGCAAGCCGAGACCAAAUCCUUGAGUUUCAGCUCGGAUUCAGAAGGUAAUUUUGAGACCCCUGAAGCUGAAACACCAAUCAGAUCACCUCUCAAGGAAUCCUGUGAUUCAUCAUUAGGAUUGGCAGCACCGGGGGCCAAAACCCAAGAAUCACAAGAAGUUGAUGAACAGCUGGUAGCAGAAGUGGUUGAAAAAUGUUCAUCUGAGACUUGUUCUAGACCCUCAGAAAAUGAGGUGUCACAGCAGGCUAUUGCUUCUUACCCAGUCAAGGAUUUCAAAGAAGAACCUGAACAUGAUAGUAGCAAAAUUUCAGUAGUGAGGCCAUUUUCGAUAGAAAGCAAGAAUUCCACGGACGCCCCGGCAGCUCUAGGAACGAAGGCAGCUUAUGGCUGUCUAACUGUGGUCUCAGGCGAGGCUUUGCCCUCCAGCACACCAGAAGCCAUCCCCGACAAGGCAAUGACAGAAGGCACCAUGGGGGUGAUGCUGGAGGCCUCCACAGAAGCUGACCUGAAGGCUGGCAGCUCCUGUCCAGAGCCUGUUCCCAGCAGAAGCAAGCUAAGAAAGCCCAAACCCGUCUCUCUGAGGAAGAAGACGAUUGGUGAAUUUUUAGAGGCUGAUGUUGCCCUAGAGGGCUCACCUCUCCCCCAGGCAUCCUAUCAGUUCUGUGCUGAUGAGAUGGAUGGGAAAGCAAAUCCUUUGCUAGGAGGCGCCAGGAUCCAGAAACCUCCUCCUGACACUAAGGAGACCUCAAGCACCCCUGGCAGUGACACCAACGACUCUGGAGUUGAGCUGCUGGAGGAGUCCAGGAACUCACCUCUGAAACUAGAGUUUGAUUUCACAGAAGAUGUGGAAAAUGUAGAGUCCAGGAAAGGCCUUCCGAAGAAACUUGGCAGGAAACUGGGUAGCAAACUGCCUCCCAAGGUACAGAAAGAUAGCAUCAGUAAGCCAGUAGGCGCCAAAGGUGGGGACCAGCCUGCAGACCCAGCUGCAGACAGCGCUCCUCCCUCCCAGGCAUCUGCUAAGCUGGCUCCCAGCCAGUGGGAUAACCCCAACUUCAGUCCCUUUGGGGGCCUCUCCGCUCUGCAGAACACCCCCCCUCUCUCCUCUAAGGGCUCCUACCACCUUGACGAAUCCAUGGAUCCCUUUAAACCAACUACAACUUUAGCAAGCAGUGACUUUUGUUCUCCCGCCGGUAAUCAUAUUAAUGAAAUCUUAGAAUCACCCAAGAAGGCAAAGUCGCGUUUAAUAACGACUACUGAACAAGUGAAAUUUCUCUGUUUUCUGUUGAGUGGCUGUAAGGUGAAGAAAUAUGAAACACAGUCUCUUGCUUUGGACGGGUGUUCUCAGGAUGAAGGAGCAGUGAUCUCCCAGAUUUCAGACAUUUCUAAUAGGGAUGGCCACGCUACUGACGAGGAGAAACUGGCGUCCACUUCAUCUGGUCAGAAAUCAACUGGGGCCGAGGUGAAAGGUGAGCCAGAGGAAGACCUGGAGUACUUUGAAUGUUCCAAUGUUCCCGUGUCUGCCAUAAAUCAUGCGUUUUCAUCCUCAGAAGCAGGCAUAGAGAAAGAGACGUGCCAGAAGAUGGAGAAAGAUGGAUCUACCGUGACAGGACUGUUGGAGUCAUCUGUGGAGAAGGCCCCCGUGUCUGUGGCCUGUGGAGGGGAGAGCCCCUUGGAUGGCAUCUGCCUCAGCGAAUCCGAUAAGACAGCUGUGCUCACCCUCAUAAGAGAAGAGAUAAUCACUAAGGAAAUCGAAGCAAAUGAAUGGAAGAAAAAAUACGAAGAAACCCGACAAGAAGUGUUGGAGAUGAGGAAAAUUGUGGCUGAAUAUGAAAAGACCAUUGCUCAAAUGAUUGAAGAUGAACAGAGGACAAAUAUGACCUCUCAGAAGAGCUUCCAGCAACUGACCAUGGAGAAGGAGCAGGCCCUGGCUGACCUUAAUUCUGUGGAAAGGUCCCUUUCUGAUCUCUUCAGGAGAUAUGAGAACCUGAAAGGCGUUCUGGAAGGGUUCAAGAAGAAUGAAGAAGCCUUGAAAAAGUGUGCUCAGGAUUAUUUAGCCAGAGUUAAACAAGAGGAACAGCGAUAUCAGGCCCUGAAAAUCCACGCGGAGGAAAAACUAGACAAAGCCAAUGAGGAGAUUGCUCAGGUUCGAACAAAAGCGAAGGCCGAGAGCGCGGCUCUCCACGCUGGACUCCGGAAGGAGCAGAUGAAGGUGGAGUCCCUGGAAAGAGCCCUUCAGCAGAAGCUUUAUCCUCCUGGGGACGUUGGCAACAUCUGGAGGUGGAUUUAGUUGUCACGACUGGGAGAUGCUACUGGCGUCUCAUGGGUAGAGGCCAGAAGUGCUACUAAACAUCUAACAGUGCACAGGACAGUCCCUACAACAAAGACUGACCCGGCCCAAAAUGCCGGUGGUGCCGCAGUUGAGAAAUUCUGCUGUAGAACCAAGAAAUAGAAGAACUAACGAAAAUCUGCGACGAGCUGAUUGCGAAGUUGGGAAAGACUGACUGAGUCUCCCCCUCGUUAGCUCAGCAGGGCCAUGAAGGUGUCACUUUGUCCCCCUCUGCCUUUUAGUGGUAUCUGAAAUACACAAGGUCUGCCCCAGUCACAUUGUUAAACCGAUGCUCUGUGAAGAACUUCCACGUAGACAUACGAAGAUUUGAACUCCUGACCCCACCCCCUGUCCAGAUACAGGGCAUCCUGCGUUCCCAACCACCCCGCAGCUUCUUCCCAGCCCCUUCUCACGCCCGGGGACAGGAUCCAGGCCUUCCUUUAUAAACCUCACAGGUAGCAGUAAGCUUGUCGGUGUCGCCAUUAGCAAGCGUGUGUUUGCCAGUAGAUGCCCAUUUGUACUCAUGUGCCAACAAGUACAUGUCAGCUGCCCAUCUGCUUCCGCUACGCCCCCUCGGGUGCCGGGAAGUGUGUGAGGAACCUCUCGUCAGGAGGCGUGAACGCUGCACUGACUACUGCUGUCAGGAUCGUGUCGUGUGGAAUAAUCAUCUACAUAAAUUUUAUAUGCACAGUACUUCCCCUUUUAUAUGUCAGGUAAAUAUUUGUAAAAGUUAUACUCACACAAAUGAAAUGAUUAUAAUGAUUACUAAUAUAUUUUUUCCAUGUUUCAUUGCCUGAAUAAAAACUGUUUACCACUGUUA